rnacentral:rRNA from 1 species
UUACCGUUGUUGCAGUUAAAAAGCUCGUAGUCGGAUUUCGGGUUUGUCCGCGCGGUCUGCCGUUGGGUAUGCACUGCGUGUGACUUAUCUUUUUCGGGGCAGCGCGCGUUGCUUAAUUGUGGCGUGUGUCUCCUCGCUUUUACUUUGAGAAAAUCAGAGUGUUCAAAGCAGGCCUUUGCCAUUGUAUGUGUUAGCAUGGGAUAAUGGAAUAGGACUCUGGUGCUAUUUUGUUGGUUUCGAACGCCGGGGUAAUGAUUAAUAGGGAUAGUCAGGGGCACUCGUAUUCCGUAGAGAGAGGUGAAAUUCUUAGACCCACGGAAGACGCACUACUGCGAAAGCAUUUGCCAGGGAUGUUUUCACUGAUCAAGAACGAAAGUUAGGGGAUCGAAGAUGAUCA